AGCCAAAAGACAAGAAGACCAAAACCCAAA
rnacentral:piRNA from 1 species